GAAGAACAAAGAGGGGGAAAAAACACAACGAUGUUAAGGCAAACAGUUCCGUACAGUAUUACUGCUAUUUAUACAUGACACAUUUAACAGAUGUGUUCUGCUUCAUCUUUACUCCCCUGAACUUUGCACUGACGAACAGGUAAUACAUUUGUUUGUAAAACUGAGGCUGAAAGUUUGCUGGGUCGCUGCCAAAGUUAUAGCUUUUCUUGUACAUGUUUACUGUUUUGAAACAAUUUUAGAUAUUAUUCUAGUUAAGUAGUGUUAGGGAACAGAUAGGGAACCUCUCAGCGACUUAUGCAAAUAUGAUUUAUCGUUCCGACUGAGCUUAUCAUCAAGUCUGGAGAUAUAAAUGUGUACCCGAUAGAGCCUUUGACCUAGCCUCCUAGACAACAACAAGAGGGGGAGGGGGGGAGUGAGAAUUUCUUUCUCGGUUAUAAAUAUGACCUUUCUUCCAGUUCCCAAGCAGACUUCCCUCUACACGGCUGCUUGGCCUUCCAGGCUAUUGAGCUACACACUACUACCCUUUACAUUCCUCAACACUACCCCGGCUUGUCACACCUCCUUCACGUGCACAGCAGCCAGUUGGUAGUGCAGGAGUGCAUGGCUGGUGCAUGCGUGGGGAGUGAUCAGAGGGUGGGCAGGGGGGUUAGGGGCUGUUGCUGUAAAGGGACAUCGGAGAAGGCAGUAACACAAAGCAGGGGACUCCAGAGCCAGUAGGAGCUGUCAUGUGCCUAAUGAGGCACAAGACUCAUAGCACCCCUCCAUUAAUCCUUUUUAUCAUGGAUGACAUCAUCACGUGAUGCUAUUUAAUAUUUUUACACAUCAAAAAAUGAAAAAAAUAUCAAUAGAAUGUAAUUUUUUGUUUUUAUUCGAUUGUUUUUUUAUUGGAUAUUCGCUUGCAUAUUGAACCACAAAACCUCAUUUGUGUGUAAUGACCUUUCCUCUAGAGGCAUGAACUCUUGGUGGCCAGUCAUGGCUGUAGCUUGCCUCAGGGUCAGGGGUUCUCCUGAACUUUGGCACACUUAUCCAAUACAAUGGGAGAGAAGGAGGAGAUGGAGGUGGGGGGUUUGUGUGUAGGGAUGGGGGAGGAGAGGUGAGGAUGACUGAAGAGGAGGAGGAGGAUGUGGUGGAGGGAUGUCUGAUUCCCUAACAGAUCUAGGGGAAAGGUUGCUCACUCUUGAGGGAUGUACAAAUGUUUGUUUUACACAAAAAGGUGGGACAUCUUAUUAAAAAAAAAAAAAAAAGGGGGUGUCUUCAAAACAGUGGAAGAUAUCUGUAUGAAGUUCAUAGAUAAAUAUAGACUCCCUUUUCCGUUUCCCCCGUUAUUUUUUUCUUGGCUCAGGUACAAGGACAGUAAUCUGAGGAACAUUGCAUGAUAGAUUUGUACAAAGCCUCCCCUGCCUUUUCCAGGUUCCCCUCGUCUCCCUCCAACAAUAGAAAUGAUCAGUGUGAGUAAUCCUGUUGAGCUUUGUGACCCUGACUGAACCCUCUUAGAGAUCAGCGAACUUUUCCCCAGUUGAAACCUUGCCAGAGAAACUUGUUUCUUUUUUCCUCACUCCUCAGAUCCUGCUGAUGUCAGAGCUCUGAGGUGUUAUUGUGAUUUGUACUGGCUGACUGAUCUCAACUGUUGCCUCAGCCACGUUCACCUUUCACCUACUUCUCAUCUACGGCCAUCAGAAACAGAGGUGAAGGAAAGGCGAAGUGGAUGAAAGGUAUCUGUCUGCAGCAGGUACAAGCAGGGACAUGGCACCUCGAAAAGACACCUGCUUCACCCAACAGAUACAGUAAUAGUUGAACUGGAUGACCGUCUGGUACAUGCUCCUUGUGAUUGUAGCUGCAUGUAAAGAAUGUACUUGCCUUGCUGCAUUGUGAACUAAAAGAAGAACUGCAGGCUUUCAUUUUUGGCUUUACGAGUGCGCAGAUGUCUGCGUCAUAUCAGGCAAAAGGAUGAUUCAUUUUGUCUUUGAAGGAACAUUAAAGAUUCCUCUGAUGUUCAGAUUUUGAGAAAUAUGUCUGAAUGUGGUGGCUCAGAUGAAUUACAGCCGUGUGUCAAACAGGAGGAGCUGUUUUUUUGGGAGCUUGAUGAAGUACAACGUACUGUAGGCCUUCGUGGGUGUAUAAGAUGGCCUGAAGUUGAUCUGGAAAACUGUGAUAGAGCCUUAAUUUGUGGUGAGAGGAUGCAGUUGGCAUGAAUUCGGGGUGUUUUGCUUGAUAUUGUAAUCAUACUGUAAUUGUAGGAUGACACAUGCUUGUUUUCAUCAUGACCUUAAGGACACAAUUACAUCGUAAUUUAACAAGAAAUUGUCCUUCAUCAGUGGUGGAAGAAGCAUUCAGAUCUUUUACUAAAGUAAAAAUAUUAACACCACAGUGUAAAAAUACUCCAUUACAAGUAAAGAUCCUGCAUUCAAAAUGUUACUUAAGUACAAAAAGCAUCAAAAGUAGGCUGUGCAUUAUGCAGAAUAGUCACUUUCUGAUUGUCAUUUCAUUAUAUGUAUUAUAUGGGAUUAUUAAUCCUGAAGCAUUUACAUGUAAGCAGCAUUUUAAUGUUGUACUUGACCAAGGUGGAGCAAAGUUGAAUUAUUAUGAACAUAGUGUUGGAUAUCUUAAUCUGUAACAGUAAGUUUUGUGUGUAAAAUUUGAAUCUGCAAUGUAGAUAAUAACUGGUGUCCAAAAAACUGUAGUGGUGUAAAAAGUACAAUAUUUUCUUUCAAAAUGUGGCAGUUUAAAUAUGAAGUAGCAUCAAAUGGAAAUACUCCAGUAGUACCUUAAAGUAGUACUUAAGUACAGUAUGUGAGUAAAUGUAGUUAGUUACUUUCCAUCACUGAAUUUCAUCCAGACAGGAAUAAAAGCGGCUCAAACAAGAAUAAUCAACAGGCCAGUCACAUUGUCAGUAGACAGUAUAUUUACUGGAGGACAGACUAAACAAGUGGAUUAAAUAAACAUCAAUUUUAUUUGUAUAUGUCUACAAUAACGUACAAGGCUUGCAGGAAUCCGUGUCCUCUGUAUCCUCUCAUUUGAACUCACAAGCCGUACAGUCGUAUGUUACUGAUCAUCACUGGAGCCACACCUCGACACAGCUGCUUAUUCAAUUUCUCAAAAUGGCUGCUCCCAUCUCUAGCCGGUAUAAUGACCUUUCACCCAGAUUCCAAACACAGAACAUCUGUAAAUCACAGUGCAGCCCCCAGACUUAGUCAUGGACGAGGGGAUGGAAAGAGGAAGGAUGGAAAAAAACCCAAAAAACAGGUGCUGAAGGCUGUAAACCUCUGGUUCCCAUGGAGAGACUGAUCUGUGAUCUUUUCCAUUUGGGACCAUUUUAUGAGGUUUUGGGGUUUUAUAUUCACAGAUUUUUUUCCACUUGUGUUUGCCAGAAAUACUUAUCUGAAUCUAUUCCAGUGAAGUAAAUAAUGUCGAAAAAGAUUUAGACCAGUUUUGAGAGGAAAACUGAAGGAAAUUCUGAGGAAAAAAAACUAUACAUUUUCAAUGCUUCUGUUCACUGAAAUUGUUUUUCUAUCAAAGAUCUCAGCAUAUGAAUAUCCAAGUGAGACUUAAUAUUACUACUCGUCCAUCAUCAGAUAGGGCACCCAAUUUAACACACAUACAAUUGGGGUGUGUCACCUGCCCUCCUCACUUCUCUUGGAAUCAGCUAGAGUAAACAAAUGUCAGCUGCCCUGCGUUCCUCAUUUCUGAUAUGAGAUAUUCAUGAGUCGCAGGCAAGCAGCGACCUUUUUAGCUGACUGCGCAAUCACUGAGGUUCAGAUUUAGUGAAUGGAGCUCAUGACUGUCUUGUGAUUGAGUAGAAAAGUCAGUCAGGAUGCACUGGAGAGGUAAAUCUAGAGGAGCUGCAGGUGGGAUCUGUUCUCAUGACACAUAAGAAGAUGGAUGCUGCUUUCUGGGUUUACCAUAAACAUAACUGAUGAAGAAAUAGUCAAUAAAUGAUAUAGCUGGUGUGAGAUUUAUGUUUUUUGGUGGGUAUCAGGAAUGUACAGUAUGUUAGAUUUAAGUUUGACCUUUUUUUUUCAAAACCUGAUUUAUAGGCAGAUAUUUUGACUGUCAAGCACAGAUGUAACUGAUAAUAUUUACGAUGGCUCUGUUCCAUUAAGUGUCCCAGUAAGCCAUGUCAGUGAGUUAGCAUGCAUAAUACCAGGACCCUGAAACUGGUACACCUAAAAGGAACACAGCCAUAAUUAAUCAUUAGUACUUCUCCUGCUGAUGUAAAAAAAAUCACUAAUUAAUCAGUUUCACUCAGAAAUGAUGAUGGGUUUAGGGAUAUUGCUGCAUGAAUUUAAAUGUUUUUUUGUAUUUCCAUUUAAAGGGAAUCACAUUGUAUUAAGAAACAAAUUACCUCAUAAACUAUGAUUUAACCACAGAGAUGGUUAUAGUUGGGAGACAUAAUAAUACUGCAGUAUCCCUUUUUCUGCCAUAAAUGAUUCAAAUCAGUGAGGACAGACAAACCAGCUGACUCUUGCACCAGGAGGAAGGUGUUUGCCUUGAAACAGUUUUCCAUUUCCCCUUCUACAGUAUGUUGAGAACAGCAGACAGCCAGGUAAAACACAAUACUGCCUCCCAGUGGUGCAAAGCGAGAACAUAUCGUUUGUAUUUGUUCAGCCUUGACCCCUGCCCAUUUAUCCAGUGUGGCCCCCUUUAGUGACUGUUGUACUGUUGCUGCCCCAGGAACUGCAUACUGAAUGUGACAUGGCACCGAAGCAAAUGAAAACCUGCAGUUUUUCUUUUAGCCUCCAGCAGUCCUGAGAGAUGAAGAAGUUGUGAAAAAUGUUCACCUCUGGUUUGGUUCAGCACAUACAGGCCCAGGCAGGGAGAGCAGGCUGAGAGGAUAUGAGAGAUUUCCUGUGAGGACUCUGACAUGCUGUCCUUGGACAAAGAUGGUCCCCAUUUUGCAUCUGCAUGUAUCAAGAGACUCCUUCAGUUCCCACACAAAUAUUUGACUUCUGCCUUUUUAUGAUGCCAAAACUUUAAAUAUCUGCAUAUGCUCAGCUUUUGUAACAUCCUGUAAAGUUUGAAUGAUGUGACUUAAGCUAUGUAAGAUAAAAGAAUAUGUGCUCCAG